UUUGGAGAACUCGACCCCCCUUAGAAACCUUUGUCAAGCUCGCCGAAACCGGAGAAAACCCGCAAGUCGCCGGAGCUCGAAACGUUGUCGGAAAAACUCGAGUCAGAGUGAACCUGGACAUCGCUGGAAAUAACGAAGCUUGCCGGAGUUCGAAGCUUCUGUCGGAGCAAACAUAGUUCACCGGAGACAAUCGGAGCUUACGCCGUAACCACGUCUGAGGUUCACGAUGGAAAACACGUCGUCAUGUUUCGGAUAAACCGUUCGUUCAUUCUCUUGGAUUUGUCCAAUCCUUACUCGUGCGUUAUUUCAAGAAAUCGUAUACGCAACCAAUGUUAAUUAUUGAGACGAUACU
rnacentral:lncRNA from 1 species